UGGUGGAGUGAUUUGUCUGGUUAAUUCCGAUAACGAGCGAGACCUUAACCUGCUAACUAGUCCAAUCUAUUUUAUAGACGCGACUUCUUAGAGGGACUAUGUCACGAUGAGUGCAUGGAAGUUUGAGGCAAUAACA
rnacentral:rRNA from 1 species